rnacentral:lncRNA from 1 species
CUUAUCUCGUUAUUAUUGAUUGCCCCAUCACAGGCUGGAAAUGUGAUAUUAUCGAUUGCCCCGUCAUAGGCUGGAAAUGUGAUACUAUCGAUUGCCCCGUCACAGGCUGAAAAUGUGAUACUAUCGAUUGCCCCGUCACGGGCCGAAAACGUGACCGGGAUGUAGCCCAAAAUCGAAAAGAUAAUUGAUCCGGAUCAAGUUAAUAUAGAAUGGAAAGAAAAAGCAUUGAAAAUAUUAAUGAAGAUUUAUGAGCUAUCGUAUGCUAUAUCAUUCUUGCGUGGUUGGACUUUCAUUGAUAUUUGACGUACAUACUUAUAUUGAUUAUUUGAGUCUUUUGAUAGCCGGUUUAUGAUUUCAUGAAAUGUGCAUCGAUUUGUCGUGGCUUUCAAAUUCAUAUUAUUAUUGUGUUGGUAUGGAUGUGUAGGGAUUCUUACUGGGCUGUAAAGCUCACCCCC